CCACACCUAAAAUCUUUCCACGUGAACUGUUGGGAUUGCCGUUGGGCAUGACGUGGGGCUUCCGUGCUGCUUUGCGGUUUUGCUGCUUUGCGCGUGGAGGCCCCGUCUGGGUGUUGCUGUGCCGUUUAGGCUUGGCGGUGCCUGGCGCCUUUUUGUUUUGAACCCGUUACGUAAUGACUGAGUAUACUGCGGGGACGAAAGUCUCUGCUUUGAACUAGAUAGCAACUUUCAGCAGUGGAUGUCUAGGCUCGCACAUCGAUGAAGGACGCUGCGAACUGCGAUACGUAAUGCGAAUUGCAGGAUUCAGUGAGUCAUCGAAAUUUUGAACGCAUAUUGCACUUCCGGGUUAUGCCUGGGAGUAUGUCUGUAUCAGUGUCCGUAAAGCACUGUUGCCUCUCUUCCUUCCGUGUAGUCGGUGGCGGGGACGGCAGACGUGAAGUGUCUUGCUGCAGCUUUUGUGUGUGCGGCAAGUCCUUUGAAAGUUUCCUUUUCUCUCUCUUUGCCGAAAGCGAGCUGGAAGUGUGACUGUGGCGGCUGCCUGUGUGGCGCUGCUGGGUGUCUGUUCAUGCGAGGGCGUUUGGGAGAGGGCUUGUUGAUUCGCGGUAUGUUAGGUUUCGGCCGGACAAUGCGCUUAUUGGCGGGUUUCUUUCUGCUCUUGCGGUUGAGUGGGCGUUCGGCGGCGCGUGCGCGUGGCUUGGCUGUUGAGUGUUGAUCUUUCGGCGUUUGAAUCGCGAGUAGUGUGUCUGCGUGUGCUGUUCUUUGUUGAGGGCGGCGCUGCAGGCGAGGGGGGACUGUCCAUUUGGGAAGUUUGUGUGUGGUCGGCGCGUCUUGGGGCGAGCUGGUGCGCAUCUCAA
rnacentral:rRNA from 1 species